GACGAACGCUGGCGGCGUGCCUAAUACAUGCAAGUAGAACGCUGAAGGAGGAGCUUGCUCUUCUGGAUGAGUUGCGAACGGGUGAGUAACGCGUAGGUAACCUGCCUGGUAGCGGGGGAUAACUGUUGGAAACGAUAGCUAAUACCGCAUAACAGUAGAUGUUGCAUGACAUUUGCUUAAAAGGUGCAAUUGAACCACUACCAGAUGGACCUGCGUUGUAUUAGCUAGUUGGUGGGGUAACGGCGCACCAAGGCGACGAUACAUAGCCGACCUGCGAGGGUGAUCGGCCACCCUGGGACUGAGACACCGCCCAGACUCCUUCGGGAGGCAGCAGUAGGGAAACUUCGGCAAUGGGCGGAAGUCUGACCGAGCAACGCCGCGUGAGUGAAGAAAGGUUUCGGAUCGUAAAGCUCUGUUGUAUGGGGAGAACGAGUGUGAGGGUGGAAAGUUCACACUGUGACGGUAUCUUACCAGAAAGGGACGGCUAACUACGUG
rnacentral:rRNA from 1 species